GAAACUCUGACAGCUACAUAUAUAUCUAAAUAAAAGAAUUGUUUAGAAACUGAGAACCUUCGACAGACGGCGCAGAUCUUUCGGGGGAUUGAUUACUUUCGGUGGAACCGUGUCGAAGGGUGGAAGUACCUUGUAAAGUGAAUUACUGUGCUCUCCGACCCCGAAGCAAAAAGGUGACGAGAAGAGAUGAGUUGCAAUCAGGAGCGCAAUCCCAGGAGGAUUCGCUCAUAAAUCCCGAACCAUUUCUUCAAACAACACGAGCAUCAUAAUUUCGGUGGCACCAUCUGCAAAUCGGAUUUCCAUUCUGUGCCUGCUUGCAAUAGCGUAAGGAAAAAAAGAGGAUGGGAAAAGGAAAGAAUUACUGCCUCUAUGAACCUAUGGACAUGGACUGAAGUAACGAAUUCGAGGCAUGUCCAAUGGCAAAAAGAUUUCGGGCAUCAUGUCAUGCUACCGUUAUCCAAAGUGAUGCUUGAAAAAUUAAAAAAUUGAACUAUUAGAACUCUUCAAUUUUACUGUUAUAUUAGGAAAACUGCUUUUGUUCUGCCUCACGAAGGAAGGCCUCCCAAGUAAAAGAAAACAUCGAUUGCCUUAUCUGCAUCAUUUAGAGAAACGCUGACAAAGACUCAAAUUUCUAGGACGUCUGACAACUGGGCUUUUUUUUUUCGAACGAAUUACUAUGACAUUUUUAUUUUCAGGAAAAUGUACGUUUCUAUUUUCUCAAAGCAAAGCGUUGCUUUUUAUUUAAAAAGAACCCAUGAUGUCUUGCGUUUCGCUGAAAUGGAUUUCAGUUUAUUUUAAAAGCAGGAGAAUU